rnacentral:lncRNA from 1 species
GCCUCAGCAGAGAUGAUUUGGCUGGAUGAGCAUUUUAUUUUGGCAUUUGAAGAUGGUGUUGGUGGAGCCUUCCAUCCAUAGACUGUAAAAAAAUACAAACAGCACAAAACCAUCCAGUUUUAGGUCCUGGAUCCUCUCCAGUUUCAGAUUAAGGCAGAAACCCUGCUCCUCCAGGAUUGCAGCGUGACCAGUGCCCUGAGAGCAGACGAGUGGGGAGCCAGAAUGACAGUGGCCGCCUCUGCACAGUGGAACACUGGCCCUUGACAGCUGUAGGGGUCUGGAGGAGCUGCUGGCCUGGCGCUUUGCAGGGCUUGUGCUGAGAACUCUUCUCCUUUUUUGGAAAACAAAUCAAAUCCUGCAAGGAAACCUCAGCCUGGACAGAUUUUCCUUGAGAACAAUCCACUCUGAUGUGUGCCUCUCCUUGGUGGCUUUCUGCCACAACCUUUGAAAGUUAAGGCCACUUCAUGCUGCUGUAGGCCACUUCUCUGAGGAGCCCCAGAGUCGCUGAAUCUUGCAAGUGCUGACUGAAAGAAGCCUCCACUUGCCUAACAAAGGGGAAAGAUGACUUAAAUACUCCUUCUCAUCCACCGACACAACCCAAUGGUCCUAUAGACACAAUUACAUCUAACAAGUAUUUUGGGUGUGUUUAAAGCAUGGGCUAGUUAUGAAGGAGAGGAAGGGAUGGUGGGAGCUUUCUUAUUUGCUUUUAAAAUUCUGUAUUUGACAGGAAUACUCUGUGCUGGCAUAACAACGGGACUCUAGCGAACAGUAGCUUUUAUAGGAUAAAAGUUUAGUUCUGGCCAGGCAUGGUGGCUCAUGCCUAUAAUCCCAGAACUUUGGGAGGCCAGGGCGGGCAGAUCAUUUGAGUUCAAGAGUUCGAGACCAGCCUGGUCAACAUGGUGAAACCCUGUCUCUGCUAAAAAUUGAAAAAAAAUAGCUGGGCUUGGUGGCGUGCGCCUGUAGUCCCAGCUACUUGGGAGACUGAGGCAGGAGAAUCGCUUGAACCCAGGAGGCAGAGGUUGCAGUGAGCCGAGAUUACACCACUGCACUCCAACCUGGGAGACAGAGUGAGACUCCAUCAAAAAAAAAAAAAAAAGAAAGAAAGAAAGAAAGUUUAGUUCUGCUUCAUGGACUAGCCCAGAGGUUGUCUGGUAGUCAUUAGUCUGAUAGGGUGGUCCUGCCACUCUCAUUGUAUAUUUCCCUGCUCAGGGUCUCACUCAAACCUCUGUAUUCCAGUUAAAGGAAAGGGGGAAACAAAAGUGUUUGCCCAAGGUUCUCACAUCCCAUUAGCCCAAUACUGGUAGCAUAGCCACCUCCAGUUGCAAGGGAUAUCGGGAAAUGUAGUCUCCAGUGGCAUGCCUAUGUGCCUAGCUAAAAAUAAAAAAAUUCUAUCACUAAAGAACAGAUAUUAAUGGACAUGUCCUGGUCUCUGCCACCCUUUCUUUCACUUAUUCACCUACUCAAGGAAUUACUGAGUGCCAGUCAUAUUUUUGACACCGUUUUUACUCAGUUGCUUAUAAUCCAGCAAUGUAUAUGAACACAUGCUCAGCUAAAGUCACAUUGUGCUGCAUUCUCUAAUAAUUCAAAUGCUAUGGAUCUUCAGGGAAGGAAGGGCUCAUUUCUGUCUGGAGAGAUUUGUCCAUUUGUUUACAGAUUUAUUGAGCACUGUGGUCAGCAGCCUGAAGAUGGCCCCCAGUCAUCUCCACCUCCCAGAAUUCACAUCCUUGUGCAAUCUCCUUUCCUUGAAUGUGUGCUGGACCUAAUGACUCACUUCUAGCAAAUAGAAUACAACAAAAGUGACAAAAUGUCACUUUUGAGAUUAGGUUACAAGAGGACUGGGACUUCCACCUCACUCUUUCUCAGACUUCACUCUGGGGAAAUCCAGCUGCUGUGUUUUGAGAAAUAUUAUGGAGAAACUUCUGCGGCAAGGAAAUAAUAUCUUCAGUCAACAGUCAGCAAGGAUCCUAACGUCUGCCAGCACCAUGUGAUUGAGCUGGAAAGUCGAUUUUCUGAGGACUGCCAACAGCCACCCAAGUGAGCUGGGAAACAGAUCCCCCUGCAGUUGACCCUUGAGGUGACUGUAGCCUGACAGACACCUUGAUUACAGCUUUGUGAGAGAUCUGCACCCUAAUCACCCAACUAAGCUGCACCUGUACCUGAAUUUCUGACUCAGAGAAACUGUGAGAUAAUAAAUAUUGUGAUUUUCAAAUGCUAAGUUUUGGGGUAAUUUGUUAUGCAGCAAUAGAUGACUGAUACAAGUACCUACUGUUUUC